AAAAGCGGGUCCCUCUAAGUUCAAGCUCUCGCUCUCUAACAUGCGCCAUCACCCCUUUUUCAUCAUCAUCACCACCGUCAGCACCCCGACAGCCACACCAUGCCUUCGGUCUCUUCGACUCCAUCGAAACUCACGAACCCGACGAGUUCUGCUUCCAAUCAUCACUCUCAUUCUCACGCGCAUUCCACGCUGUGUAGGCACUCGCCGUCGGCGACGCUGGACUUGCUGAUCCUGAUCGUCGUGCUUUUCUCCGGAACAUUCCUGGUUUCUUCCUACUUCUCCUAUCUCUUUCACUCCCUCUCUCUCCUCCUCUCGCUCUCCUCCCCUCACCUUCCGACUCUCUCCUUCUCCGUUUCCUUCUCUUUGUCUCUUCCUUACCUUCUCGCGUUCUUUGGCUUCUUCUUCCUCUCCCUCCUCCUCCUCGACUUCUGCUGCGGUUCGCGCUCACGUCGCUGCGAUCGGCCGGGAUGUAAGGGCUUGAAGAAGGCUCUUGAAUUCGACUUGCAGUUACAGACCGAGGAGUCAAUCAGAUCCGCUAAGGACAUCGAUGCUUUACCCUGGAAGGGCGGCAGCGAGUCUAAUCCUGAUUAUGAGUGUCUCAGGGCUGAGCUGAGAAAGAUGGCCCCACCGAAUGGCCGGGCUGUCCUGCUCUUUCGCUCACGGUGUGGGUGUCCUGUUGCUAAGCUUGAGGGCUGGGGGCCCAAGCGCGGUAGACGGCAGAAAAGACUAUGGCUCGUGCAUUGGGCUUGGUGGUACUACUCAAAAGAAGAAGGCAUUGGGCUGUGUAACAGGCAUGAGGUUAAGAUCGAUUAUCGGGCUGAAAGUGCGGAAGUGCAUAUAGCAAAUUUCAUAAGAGAUUAUAAUUUAUAAAGAUGCACUUGACUCACUGUAGAGUAUAGACUGUAUAUUGGGGAGGUUCGAAUUUCAUUGCCUGCUCAACAGGCUAUAUUUGUAUGAUUUCUUGCACCACUCUCAUACGGAGGCUGGAUAUCUUUCUGAGGGCUCUUAAUGGGAGCGGUGAUCAUCGCUGAUUUUUCAUGAUGAUAUUGUCUUCGGACAACAUUUCAGAUAUUUCCGCCCAUUUGCUUUUUAUCUUUUACAGUCUAGUUUUAGAUAUUGGACAAAAACAUCUACAAUACUGAAGACUCUUGAUCAAGACGAUUUACCAAAUCCCUACAAUCCGGCAGCAAUCUCCACAUCCUUACAUAAUAUGUGGAGAUAUUGUUUUCAUUCAGGGAUGAUAUACAACAUUCGAUGGACAGCCAUCUCCUUCCAUAUUUUAUGGGAACAAGAAUAAAAAUAUAUAAUACCCUAUACUUAAUUUAA